CGCAUGGUAGGAGAGCGUUCCGUAAGCCUGCGAAGGUGCCUUGUAAAGGGUGCUGGAGGUAUCGGAAGUGCGAAUGCUGACAUGAGUAGCGAUAAAGGGGGUGAAAGGCCCCCUCGCCGUAAGCCCAAGGUUUCCUACGCAACGUUCAUCGGCGUAGGGUGAGUCGGCCCCUAAGGCGAGGCAGAAAUGCGUAGCUGAUGGGAAGCAGGUCAAUAUUCCUGCACCGUCGUUAGAUGCGAUGGGGGGACGGAUCGCGGAAGGUUGUCCGGGUGUUGGACGUCCCGGUCGCUGCAUUGGAGAAGGCGCUUAGGCAAAUCCGGGCGCAGGAUUCAAGGGUGUGGCGCGAGCGACUUCGGUCGCGAAGCAAUUGGAAGUGGUUCCAAGAAAAGCCUCUAAGCUUCAGUCUAACGAUGACCGUACCGCAAACCGACACAGGUGGGCGAGAUGAGUAUUCUAAGGCGCUUGAGAGAACUCGGGAGAAGGAACUCGGCAAAUUGGUACCGUAACUUCGGGAUAAGGUACGCCCUUGUAGCUUGACUGGCCUGCGCCAGGAGGGUGAAGGGGUUGCAAUAAACUGGUGGCUGCGACUGUUUAAUAAAAACACAGCACUCUGCAAACACGAAAGUGGACGUAUAGGGUGUGACGCCUGCCCGGUGCCGGAAGAUUAAAUGAUGGGGUGCAAGCUCUUGAUUGAAGUCCCGGUAAACGGCGGCCGUAACUAUAACGGUCCUAAGGUAGCGAAAUUCCUUGUCGGGUAAGUUCCGACCUGCACGAAUGGCGUAACGAUGGCCACACUGUCUCCUCCCGAGACUCAGCGAAGUUGAAGUGUUUGUGAUGAUGCAAUCUACCCGCGGCUAGACGGAAAGACCCCAUGAACCUUUACUGUAGCUUUGCAUUGGACUUUGAACCGAUCUGUGUAGGAUAGGUGGGAGGCUAUGAAACCGGAACGCUAGUUUCGGUGGAGCCGUCCUUGAAAUACCACCCUGGUUUGUUUGAGGUUCUAACCUUGGUCCGUGAUCCGGAUCGGGGACAGUGCAUGGUAGGCAGUUUGACUGGGGCGGUCUCCUCCCAAAGGGUAACGGAGGAGUACGAAGGUACGCUAGGUACGGUCGGAAAUCGUGCUGAUAGUGCAAUGGCAUAAGCGUGCUUAACUGCGAGACCGACAAGUCGAGCAGGUGCGAAAGCAGGUCAUAGUGAUCCGGUGGUUCUGUAUGGAAGGGCCAUCGCUCAACGGAUAAAAGGUACUCUGGGGAUAACAGGCUGAUACCGCCCAAGAGUUCAUAUCGACGGCGGUGUUUGGCACCUCGAUGUCGGCUCAUCUCAUCCUGGGGCUGUAGCCGGUCCCAAGGGUAUGGCUGUUCGCCAUUUAAAGAGGUACGUGAGCUGGGUUUAAAACGUCGUGAGACAGUUUGGUCCCUAUCUGCCGUGGGCGUUGGAUAUUUGAAGGGGGCUGCUCCUAGUACGAGAGGACCGGAGUGGACGAACCUCUGGUGUACCGGUUGUGACGCCAGUCGCAUCGCCGGGUAGCUAUGUUCGGAAGAGAUAACCGCUGAAAGCAUCUAAGCGGGAAACUCGCCUUAAGAUGAGAUAUCCCUGGAGGCUUGACCUCCUUGAAGGGUCGUUCGAGACCAGGACGUUGAUAGGUCGGGUGUGUAAGCGCAGUAAUGCGUUCAGCUAACCGAUACUAAUUGCCCGUAAGGCUUGAUCCU
rnacentral:rRNA from 1 species